AAGCUUGCUUUCUUUGCCGGCGACCGGCGCACGGGUGAGUAACACGUAUCCAACCUGCCCUUUACUCGGGGAUAGCCUUUCGAAAGAAAGAUUAAUACCCGAUGGCAUAAUGAUUCCGCAUGGUUUCAUUAUUAAAGGAUUCCGGUAAAGGAUGGGGAUGCGUUCCAUUAGGUUGUUGGUGGGGGUAACGGCCCACCAAGCCUUCGAUGGAUAGGGGUUCUGAGAGGAAGGUCCCCCACAUUGGAACUGAGACACGGUCCAAACUCCUACGGGAGGCAGCAUG
rnacentral:rRNA from 1 species